UCAUCUCCGGGGGUAGAGCACUGUUUCGGCAAGGGGGUCAUCCCGACUUACCAACCCGAUGCAAACUGCGAAUACCGGAGAAUGUUAUCACGGGAGACACACGGCGGGUGCUAACGUCCGUCGUGAAGAGGGAAACAACCCAGACCGCCAGCUAAGGUCCCAAAGUCAUGGUUAAGUGGGAAACGAUGUGGGAAGGCCCAGACAGCCAGGAUGUUGGCUUAGAAGCAGCCAUCAUUUAAAGAAAGCGUAAUAGCUCACUGGUCGAGUCGGCCUGCGCGGAAGAUGUAACGGGGCUAAACCAUGCACCGAAGCUGCGGCAGCGACGCUUAUGCGUUGUUGGGUAGGGGAGCGUUCUGUAAGCCUGUGAAGGUGUGCUGUGAGGCAUGCUGGAGGUAUCAGAAGUGCGAAUGCUGACAUAAGUAACGAUAAAGCGGGUGAAAAGCCCGCUCGCCGGAAGACCAAGGGUUCCUGUCCAACGUUAAUCGGGGCAGGGUGAGUCGACCCCUAAGGCGAGGCCGAAAGGCGUAGUCGAUGGGAAACAGGUUAAUAUUCCUGUACUUGGUGUUACUGCGAAGGGGGGACGGAGAAGGCUAUGUUGGCCGGGCGACGGUUGUCCCGGUUUAAGCGUGUAGGCUGGUUUUCCAGGCAAAUCCGGAAAAUCAAGGCUGAGGCGUGAUGACGAGGCACUACGGUGCUGAAGCAACAAAUGCCCUGCUUCCAGGAAAAGCCUCUAAGCAUCAGGUAACAUCAAAUCGUACCCCAAACCGACACAGGUGGUCAGGUAGAGAAUACCAAGGCGCUUGAGAGAACUCGGGUGAAGGAACUAGGCAAAAUGGUGCCGUAACUUCGGGAGAAGGCACGCUGAUAUGUAGGUGAAGCGACUUGCUCGUGGAGCUGAAAUCAGUCGAAGAUACCAGCUGGCUGCAACUGUUUAUUAAAAACACAGCACUGUGCAAACACGAAAGUGGACGUAUACGGUGUGACGCCUGCCCGGUGCCGGAAGGUUAAUUGAUGGGGUUAGCCGCAAGGCGAAGCUCUUGAUCGAAGCCCCGGUAAACGGCGGCCGUAACUAUAACGGUCCUAAGGUAGCGAAAUUCCUUGUCGGGUAAGUUCCGACCUGCACGAAUGGCGUAAUGAUGGCCAGGCUGUCUCCACCCGAGACUCAGUGAAAUUGAACUCGCUGUGAAGAUGCAGUGUACCCGCGGCAAGACGGAAAGACCCCGUGAACCUUUACUAUAGCUUGACACUGAACAUUGAGCCUUGAUGUGUAGGAUAGGUGGGAGGCUU
rnacentral:rRNA from 1 species